GGAGAGGUACCAUUUCAAAGGACAGGUACCAUGAUUGAAAAGCAGUACCUCUGAUUCUCUGGAUCCCUCACUUCAUAUUAGGAAUGAGCACAGAAACUGAAUGGAUGACUUUGGACUGAUCAUUCCCUUUCAGCCUUGACUGAAAAGUUAAAAACAAACAAAAAAACCCCUCUCAUCUAACAUUCUGCACCAGACCAAUGCAGUAGAGCCAUCUUGUCCAUAGCCUUCAGUGAAGAGGCUUACCUCCUGCAGUGGAUUGAUUUCAGAUGAUGAAGAUGAUAUCUUGAUAAUGAAUCUGCAGACUUCUGAACCAAGUUAUGAAAAGAGAAAGAAUGCACGCAGAAAGCUAAGGCUCAUGCUCAGCAAGAUUGGCUAUCAGAGAAGAUUCUGGUUGAGUGA